rnacentral:tRNA from 1 species
GAGACGUUAGUAAAUCCAUUACAUAGACUUGUCAAGACUAAAUCACAGGUAAUAACCCUGUACAUCUCA